ACAUAUUUGAGUUGUCCUGCGGGAAGGACCCGACUCACUGGUUCAAAAGAUGCCGAGGUGAUAAUGGUAAUAAUAACAAGUUCAAAUGGAUAACGCUCUUUAGUUGUUCUUGUAUAAUUUGGAGCUCUGAGCUGUUUAUUAUAUAGACUGAUGGCAAAGUCUGCAUAAAAACAGAAUAAGAAAAUUAAUUUAAUUUAGGUGUAACCCUGGAGAGUUACUAAGGGUUUUAGUGUGUUAUGAGUGAUGUUAGUAUUUUGAGUUCACUGUUAAGUUUUGUUAAGUUAAAUCAUUUUGUUGAGAAUUAAUAAAAUAGAAGAUGUCUAUAUGUCCUGAUGGUCCUUGAAGUAUACGAUGUCUAUAAUGUCCUGAUGGUCCUUGAAGUAUACAGGGGGAAGUACCGCCUCCUGCCGUUCACUGCGUAGCAGCUAGGGUAUCAGGAAAGAGGGAGAGGAAGAAAAAGUCAGUUUUUCCAAGUGGAAAGCGUGGUUCCUUUAUUCAGUCGGAUUGUUCGGUGGAAAUAGAUUAUCUAGACUUUGUUGUUGACCAGAAAGGAGCUUGUUACUGCUCGGAUUCUUCUGGUUGUGCUACAACGCUUCACCAUCGCCAUUUUGAAGCUCCAGGAGAGCCCAUUUUAUUGGUUACUUUGGUCAGGUUUUUUUGUUGGGAGUACAGUUCGGUGAUGAUCCAGUCCAAAGAUGGCGAGCCACCCCUCCAGGAUCCUUACGAUGAUUGUUUUAAAAGAGAACUAAAUUCUUUGGACGAGCCGUGAACUGUACAAACUCCACUUAAGUGGUAGGACAGAUUUACACUUCAUUCCUCCUUUGCACAUCCUGCAAGGAGAACCCUCAUUGCUGGACUCACACUUAAGGGUGUCGGCUGACACAAAAGAGAGAGACUGAUUCAAAUUCCCCGGGGUGUGUGUGUUUUGUUUAUUAUUUUCCGUGACUUGGGCCCAAUUUUUCCUUUCAUGUACUGUUAUUGUUUUCAUUGUAUGUAUGUGCGAUUCUUUAAUUGUGAAUACAAUUUGAUCAAACCAAGUUCUUUGAGCGUUUCAUUAGUCAUCCACUCUGCUCCAGUAGUCGAACCUCAGCUAUUGGCCCAACACACAGGUAACCGUUUAAAUCUGUAUCCCAAGUGUUGAAAGGGGUGUUACAUAAGCAACUACUGAAUGAUGGCUGUGAACUUGAAGUGAACUCAUUUAUAAUAUUGCUUUUUGUAUAUUAUAAUAACCUGCUGACUUAUGAUGUUUAAAACUUACACUGUGAUAUACACAACAUGUUUAUAGUAUUAACAUUGUCAGCUCUCACUCCAAGAUGCUUUUUUUUGUAUUUACUGACUGACAGUCAGUGGAAGAGUCUGAGUUAACAGACUUUAGUGUUUCCCUUUUCAUUUGUUAAAAUAGCGCCACCUUGUGACAUUUCUUUAUACUAAAGCAAACACUACUCUGGAUUCAGUGGACUGGAUAGGUUCAUUGUUCUUGUUUAAACUUUGAAAAUACAAGUGUCUGUGUUUUUAUUUCUUUUUUCUUUGCACAUCUACUCCAACCUGAGACACCAACUUUUGAGUUCAGAUGGCUGGCAUGGGAUUGUUGGUGUGGGAUGC